ACCCUGACGCUAUCAUGAAGGGCAAGAAGAAAAAACUCAGAGAAUUCAAACUCAGCUGGAAACUGCUGGAGGAGCUGCCAGACACAAUCAAGGAAGAGGAGAAAUACUGGGGCCUGAGAAGAGAGAGAUUAAGAGAGUACCUGAAACAUGCCUCAGUAAAGAGAUCAGAGGAGAAGGGAGGAAGUUGAGAUGUGUCCAGGAUGCAGACACGUUGCAGGUACAUUUGUGUGCAUGUCUUUCGAGUGGGGCUGGGAGGCCAAAAAGAAGCCCUUACACUUAAACCUUGACCAUAAAAGCCACUAGGCGUACCUCUCCACUCAGGCUCCAACUAAAUGGCAGUAAAUCCCCAGCUCAGAUACGUGACUCCACCCCUUCAGCCCAGACACCAGAUCUCCAAAUGAAUGAUUCAUGUUCAGGGCUUUCAAACCUGAGGCUGGAAACUUUCAGUACAAGAUCACAGCCCCCCUCCUUCCCUGCUGCAACCCAAGAAGCCAAGAUGGUGGGGGAGGUCUAGAAACAAGUAGAGGAGAUGCAGCCGAGGGUCACUUGGGAAAAGCAAUGCAAAACUGUUUAUUAUGAAAAAGACAGGAAAUAAAAUACAAAAUAACAGUUUAA